AUGCUGGGGGUUCCUGAUAAUGUACGAUGCUGGGAGUUCCUGAUAAUGUUCACUGACUUCUUUCUUCUUUUAUCUUUUUCCUCAUCAAAAAAGGCCAGUUAUGCUAGUAAACACCAGGAAAAGAAAAUUGCUUAUAGAGUUCUUUGGCAUUGCAGGCAUAUAAAGGAAAGGGGACAUAUACACAUCUGCUACAAAGUUCUACAUUUCUUCAUCAAGGAUAUGGGACACUGUGUCUGGAGUUGGUUCCUUCCAGGGGAUUCGUGGUCUCGCUGACUUCAAGAAUGAGGCUGUGAACCUUCAUGGGAGAAAUUUGACUUCAAGAAAGGAAAUUGCCUCCAAGGAAGAACAAAAAGAAACCAGUGCCUCUCCAAAGGCUAUCACGAGGCUAGAUUGCUAACCCUCAUUAGCAAGCAAGAGACCUGGUGAGUUUGAGAUAUUGUGGCUCUUAAUGCAAUAAAUAGUAAAAUUGUGUUAUAUUAUUAUUGAGACAUCAGAAUGUCCAUUUUUUUUAAGAACCAGGCUAAAAUAAAGAGGACUAAAUUUUUUGCAAUCAGGUUUAAUCGUACAUUAAAUAUUUAAGUACCUUUAAUAUGCCAGUGCAGACACAAAUGUAAAGAAAAUAUACUUGAACUUUAAGAAUCUUCCAUGAAGCAGUAAGAAAUCUGACUAAGAACACAUAUUGUAUGAAAAUGACUGAUACUAAAAGUGUACACUGCUUGGGUGAUGGGUGCACCAAAAUUUCAGAAGUCACCACUAAAUAACUUAUUCAUGCAACCAAACAUCACCUGUUCCCUAAAAAUCUAUUGAAAGAAAAUGGAAAAAAGAUAAAAUCACUGGAUACUAGAAAAAAAGAGAGUCAACCUGAAUUCUGAUGUUUAUUCAUCCAAAGAUAGCCCUAAAUGAGUUACACCUCCCAGUCUUUGAAUCUGAGCUGGCCCUACAUUAUUAACAGACUGUGGUAGAAGUGAUGCUUCAUGACGUCUGAAGCUAAAUCAUAAGUCCUCAGCUUCUGCCUGGGUUUCUUGAAACAUUCACUUGGGGUGAAUCCAACAGCCACGUUAUAAGUAGGACUACCCCAAGAUGGUGAAUAUGUGAGGAAGCCUAAGCUAGCCACGUGGAGAGGACACAAGAAGAGAGAGCUAUGAUCGAUCUCCUCAAUCUGUUAUAACAAUCCCAGCUCAGCCUCCAGACAUGGGUGAGAAGGAGCCACUUUGGACAUUUCAUGAUGAUAAAGAUAUUGGAGACUGAGUUUCCAUUGUUAGGCUCCACCCUAAGGAAAGCACAGAGUACACUAAUCACGGUGAUAAAGACAUUGGAGACUGAUUUUUUUAUGUUUAGGUUGCACUCUAAAGCAAAUCAUGGAGGACUUAAGUAUCAUUGCAAGGGUUAGAUUUGGUUUCAGCUAACAAAGUCUGACAAUGUAAGAGUGAAUAAGACAGCAACUGGGAGGGAGUUGAGAGAAGAAUUGGUAUACAAAUAUCCUCAUUCACAAAAGUUCUGUGAUUGAAAGAUUUUAUCUGUAGUUGAUGAGGCAAAAAAAAAAUACAGGUAUGUAAAAAUCUUCAAAGAUAAAUAAUACAGGUAUUAAAGAUAUAAUUAUACUUGGACUUAAAGUGUGUACAUCUGGAAGGAUGUCAAAUAAUUAUCAACAGAUAAACUCUAAAAAUCAAUACACCAAUAAAUAACUUUGAAGGCAUAUUAUUUAGCAAUAUAGAAGAUCCAGUUAAUGUAAUUGAAAUUGGUUUUUCUUGGGAGCACAAUUAGGUGUUGGAAAAGAGGAAAUAGAUACCUUUUCAUUGUUAUAAAUUUUGUUAUUACUGUAUGUCCUUUUUAAAUGUUUUAAAACAUAUGUAUUUAUAAGUUUUGAAGCUCUUAAUUCAUUAAAAUAAUUUUAUCACAUUUUUUCAAACAUAAAUUCAGAGAUAAAUGGAAUGAGCACUUGUGUAU
rnacentral:lncRNA from 1 species